rnacentral:rRNA from 1 species
GACGAACGCUGGCGGCGUGCUUAACACAUGCAAGUCGAACGGAAAGGCCCUGCUUUUGUGGGGUGCUCGAGUGGCGAACGGGUGAGUAACACGUGAGUAACCUGCCCUUGACUUUGGGAUAACUUCAGGAAACUGGGGCUAAUACCGGAUAGGAGCUCCUGCUGCAUGGUGGGGGUUGGAAAGUUUCGGCGGUUGGGGAUGGACUCGCGGCUUAUCAGCUUGUUGGUGGGGUAGUGGCUUACCAAGGCUUUGACGGGUAGCCGGCCUGAGAGGGUUACCGGCGACAUUGGGACUGAGAUACGGCCCAGACUCCUACGGGAGGCAGCAGUGGGGAGUAUUGCACAAUGGGCGGAAGCCUGAUGCAGCAACGCCGCGUGCGGGAUGACGGCCUUCGGGUUGUAAACCGCUUUCGCCUGUGACGAAGCGUGAGUGACGGUAAUGGGUAAAGAAGCACCGGCUAACUACGUG